rnacentral:rRNA from 1 species
AGUGAACGCUGGCGGUAGGCCUAACACAUGCAAGUCGAACGGCAGCACAGGAGAGCUUGCUCUCUGGGUGGCGAGUGGCGGACGGGUGAGGAAUACAUCGGAAUCUACCUUUUCGUGGGGGAUAACGUAGGGAAACUUACGCUAAUACCGCAUACGACCUACGGGUGAAAGUGGGGGACCGCAAGGCCUCACGCGAUUAGAUGAGCCGAUGUCCGAUUAGCUAGUUGGCGGGGUAAUGGCCCACCAAGGCGACGAUCGGUAGAUGGUCUGAGAGGAUGAUCGGCCACACUGGAACUGAGACACGGUCCAGACUCCUACGGGAGGCAGCAGUGGGGAAUAUUGGACAAUGGGCGCAAUCCUGAUCCAGCCAUACCGCGUGGGUGAAGAAGGCCUUCGGGUUGUAAAGCCCUUUUGUUGGGAAAGAAAUCCUGUCGAUUAAUACUCGGUGGGGAUGACGGUACCCAAAGAAUAAGCACCGGCUAACUUCGUGCCAGCAGCCGCAGUAACAC